UCCCUGGUGGCUCAGAGGUUAAAGCAUCUGCCUGCAAUGCGGGAGACCCAGGUUCGAUCUCUGGGUUGGGAA
rnacentral:tRNA from 1 species